UGACUCUCUUUUAUGAAAUUAGAGUAAUGACAUGCGAGUUUCCAAUCCACGACGCCUCAAUCGUUACACCCUACGUGUUCAUCUAACCCGAUACGUAUGAACACGGCUGGAUUAUUAUCAUGCUUCAUAAAAGAAUUUAAAAUUAUAAGCAAUAAUCUGUCUGAAUAAUCACAAUCAUAAUCAUCAAUAAUAUAGAUGUAGAUAUUCGUACCAAAACUCACAAUAGACACACUGAUAAGCCAAUAUAGAUGUAAUCGUUUGGUAGAGAAUGGCUCCAUCGACGUGAUCUGCGAUCAAACAAAAGAAAAAAGCACCAUCAGUAAUCGGUAUAUGGAGAUAGCACAACGAACGAUAAUAAAUAAC
rnacentral:lncRNA from 1 species